UACGUAGGGUGCAAGCGUUGUCCGGAAUUAUUGGGCGUAAAGAGCUCGUAGGCGGUUCGGCAAGUCAGCUGUGAAAUCUCCACGCUCAACGUGGAGGGGUCAGCUGAUACUGCUGUGACUCGAGUCCGGUAGGGGAGUGUGGAAUUCCCGGUGUAGCGGUGAAAUGCGCAGAUAUCGGGAGGAACACCAGUAGCGAAGGCGGCACUCUGGGCCGGUACUGACGCUGAGGAGCGAAAGCUAGGGGAGCGAACAGG
rnacentral:rRNA from 1 species